UGUGGUGUGACAUCGUAUAUGAAAUUUAUGAAUUGAUUUAAUUAUAUUAAAUAUUCUGAUAAAAAAAACAACUAAUUUUUAAAAGUAUCAUAACCAUGGCAUUAUCUGAUUAGUGACGAUUAAGUAUUUCUCAUUAAAAGAUAUCAAUCACGAUAUUUUAGAAUGGUCAGUCAACGAUAUAGCGAGCAACCUAAUGUAGAUGAUUUGGUGGAUAAUGAAAAUUUGGCAGAUGAGACGGAAGGGUUUUAUGGAAAGUUACGGUACCAUCAAAACAUAGACCCUUAUUUUAUACAGUAAUAUACAUUAUUGUUGCAAAUGACGAUCAUACUA